CAGCCGAUUCUUCUCGGACGCCCUCUGCCCUAGAUUUGGGCCACAGCCGACCAAGCUCCUUGCCCUGAAUCUGCCGAGCCUCACUUUCAUCUCUUCUCCUCUGCCCUAGUUUUCCUGGUGUCGUUGUCUUGGUACCACACUGCCGCCGGCCAUCAGGAUCAGCCGAGUUCUGUGUGAUUUGGAGGUCACGGAUUGGUGUGGUUUGGUUGGGAAGGGACUGCUGAUACAGAGUUGAGAUUUAGUAACUUUGUGAUCCCCAGCAGCGGCUCUGAUCUUGUUUCAGCAACCAACGUCUUUGAUUUUGGAUCAACAGUGAUACAUACGAAUUGAGGACUUUGACGCGAGACGAGUAUCUCGGAGUCAGAUUGGACCUUUCUAUUUUCG